CCAAUAGCGUAUAUUAAAGUUGUUGCAGUUAAAAAGCUCGUAGUUGAAUUUCGGGGUUCUUCCGUUGGUCAGGCUAACAAGUCUGUACUAGCGUGUAGAAUCUCUACCUUCUGGGGAACCAUCAUGUUAUUAAUUUAGCGUGGUGGGAAAUCAGGACCUUUACCUUGAAAAAAUUAGAGUGUUCAAAGCAGGCUUACGUCUGAAUACAUUAGCAUGGAAUAAUAAAAUAGGACGGUGGUCCUGUUUUGUUGGUUUCUGAAUCACCGUAAUGAUUAAUAGGGAUAGUUGGGGGCAUUAGUAUUCAAUUGUCAGAGGUGAAAUUCUUGGAUUUAUUGAAGACUAACUUCUGCGAAAGCAUUUGCCAAGGAUGUUUUCAUUAAUCAAGAACGAAAGUUAGGGGAUCGAAGACGAUCAGAUACCGUCGUAGUCUUAACCAUAAACUAUGCCGACUAGGGAUCGGACGAUGUUAAAUUUUAUUGACUCGUUCGGCGCCUUACG
rnacentral:misc_RNA from 1 species